rnacentral:tRNA from 1 species
GCGGAAGUAGCUCAGUUGGUAGAGCAUCAGCUUCCCAAGCUGAGGGCCGUGGGUUCGAGUCCCAUUUUCCGCU